AUUGAACGCUGGCGGUAGGCCUAACACAUGCAAGUCGAACGAGUGGCGGACGGGUGAGUAAUGUCUGGGAAACUGCCUGAUGGAGGGGGAUAACUACUGGAAAAGGUAGCUAAUACCGCAUACCAUCAGAUGUGCCCAGAGGGGAUUAGCUCGUUGGUGGGGUAACGGCUCACAAAGGCUACGAUCCCUAGCUGGUCUGAGAGGAUGACCAGCCACACUGGAACGGAGACACGGUCCAGACGCCUACGGGAGGCAGCAGUGGGGAAUAUUGCACAAGGGGCGAAAGCCUGAUGCAGCCAUGCCGCGUGUAUGAAGAAGGCCUUCGGGUUGUAAAGUACUUUCAGCGGGGAGGCGUUACCCGCAGAAGAAGCAUCGGCUAACUCCGUGCCAGCAGCCGCGGUAAUAC
rnacentral:rRNA from 1 species